GAAAAGAACUUUGAAGAGAGAGUUCAAGAGUACGUGAAACCGUUCAGGGGUAAACCUGAGAAACCCAAAAGAUCGAAUGGGGAGAUUCAUCGACGACGAAGCUGGCUCCCGUUGGCGUGCGAUUCCCCCGUUGGGACCUCGGUUCCAGAACGCGGGGUACACCCCUUCGGCGAAUAACCGGCGACGUAGUCGUGCACUUCUCCCUUAGUAGAACGUCGCGACCCGUUGUGUGUCGGUCUACGGCCUGGGCUAUUUGCCUGUCGCGGUGGCAUUCGUUCGCUCGCGGCAGAGGCUCGGUCGCCCGGCCGGCUGCACGACGGUACUCUCCGACGGUAUCGGGCCGCAACCAAUCCAUUCUCGAAUGGUAUAUGCGUCCAGGCCCGUCGCAAGCUCGGACAGCACCCGGAGCGUGUGGACGCAGCGCCCUCCCCGGGUCUGGCCAGCUGUUAGCAGACGGUGUCCUCGGACCGGCCAAGCUUCGAAUUACCGGUCAGCGACGCUAUUGCUUUGGGUACUCUCAGGACCCGUCUUGAAACACGGACCAAGGAGUCUAACAUGUGCGCGAGUCAUUGGGACAUUGAAACCUAAAGGCGAAAUGAAAGUGAAAGUCGUCGUAAGCGUCGACCAAGGGAGGAUGGGCCGCGUCACGUCGCGGCCUCGCACUCCCGGGGCGUCUCGUUCUCGUUGAGAAGAGGCGCACCCAGAGCGUACACGUU
rnacentral:rRNA from 1 species